AAGUCGUAACAAGGUUUCCGUAGGUGAACCUGCGGAAGGAUCAUUAACGAAAAGCAUGUUUGUCUAUGAACGGGGGGCGGUAGCUCACCCGGGAGAGGCAUCCAUCCCAACUUCUCACACCACACCCCCUUUGUGCACGAUCGUGAGCCAUCGCUUGGCCGAUCGCACGUGAAAUCCAUGCGACUGGCCCUGUCAUUGGUCUCGCCUUUCUUUUUAACACGCACCAUAAAGUACAUAUUAGAACGACACUUUCUCGUGUUGAUUUACUUCACACGAAACAAAUACAACUUUCAGCAACGGAUCUCUUGGCUCCA
rnacentral:misc_RNA from 1 species